rnacentral:rRNA from 1 species
AUUGAACGCUGGCGGCAUGCCUUACACAUGCAAGUCGAACGGUAACGGGCCUUCGGGUGCCGACGAGUGGCGAACGGGUGAGUAAUGCAUCGGAACGUACCUUUCAGUGGGGGAUAACGUAGCGAAAGUUACGCUAAUACCGCAUAUUCUGUGAGCAGGAAAGCAGGGGAUCGCAAGACCUUGCGCUGAUUGAGCGGCCGAUGUCAGAUUAGCUAGUUGGUGAGGUAAAGGCUCACCAAGGCGACGAUCUGUAGCGGGUCUGAGAGGAUGAUCCGCCACACUGGAACUGAGACACGGUCCAGACUCCUACGGGAGGCAGCAGUGGGGAAUUUUGGACAAAUGGGGGCAACCCUGAUCCAGCCAUGCCGCGUGAGUGAAGAAGG